rnacentral:rRNA from 1 species
UAAGCCAUGCAUAUAUAAGUAUAAAUAGCUUACCGUAAGACUGUGGAUGGUUUAUUAAAUCAGUUAUAGUUUAUAUGAUAGAUUCAACAUGGAUAACUGUAGGAAAUCUAGAGCUAAUACAUCGUACGAAAACCUGAAAUGUAGGGUUGUAUUUAUUAGAUACUAACCGAUGGUGAAUCAUAAUAACUUUGCGAAUCUUGACAUUUGUCAAGAUAUAUCAUUUAAGUUUCUGCUUUAUCAGCUCUGGAUGUUAGUGUAUUGGACUAACAUGGCUAUCACGAAUAACGGAGUAUUAGGGUAUGAUACCGAAAAUCGAGCGAUGAAAAAUGGCUAGAAUGACUAUGGUUAGCAGCAGGCGCGUAAAUUAUCCACUCCUAAUUCAGGGAGAUAGUGAAAAGACAUACUGACCCGGCAGAUGUAAAUUUGCCCGUUGGAAAUUGCAAAAAAUAAAUCAUUUUGCGAAUUAUAUUGGAGGAAAAGUCUGGUGCCAGCACCCGCGGUAAUUCCAGCUCCAAUAAGAAAUAUUAAAGUUGUUGCUGUUAAAAAGCUCGUAGUUGAAAUUCUGGGCUUUAUGUUUAGGCCGGGUAACUAGUCUUGCAUAAAGUUCAUCUGUCUGUUAAUCAAUUUGUUAUUCGCGUAACAUUUUGAAGCUCAGGCAUUUUACUGUGAGAAAAUUAGAGUGUUUCAGGCAGGCUUUAGCCGGAAUAUAUUAGCAUGGAAUAAUGGAAUGGGCUAGAAAUCCAUGGUUAGAUGGAGAUUUAGUCACGGUUAAUAGGAACGGUUGGGGGUGAUAGUAUUUAAUUAUUAGAGGUGAAAUUCUUGGAUUUGUUAAAGACUAACAUAUGCGAAGGCAUUCGCCAAGGAUGUUUUCAUUAAUCAAGAACGAAAGUUUGGGGAUCAAAUGAGAUCAGACGCCUCAGUAGUCCAAACCAUAAACUAUACCGACUAGAGAUUGGAGGAAUUUAAUGUUCCUUCAGCAUCUUAGAGAAAUUAAAGUUUUUGGGUUCAGGGGGAAGUAUGGUCGCAAGACUGAAACUUAAAGGAAUUGACGGAAUGAUACCACAAGAAGUGGAGCCUGCGGUUCAAUUUGACUCAACACGGGAAAACUUACUAACUUAAGACUCGGGAAGGAUUGACAGAUUAAUCGUUCUUUCUUAAUUCCGAGGAUAGUGGCGCAUGGCCGUUCUAAGCCAGUGAUGUGAAUUGCCUGGUUAAUUCCGAUAACAAGCGAGACCAUUGCCUGCUAACUAGUUGUUUAGGUUCACUAAAAUAACUUCUUAGAGGGACUGUGUACGUUAAGUAUAAGGAAGUUAAUGGCAAUAACAGGUCAGUGAUGCCCUAGAUAAGCUAGGCCACACGCGUGUUACACUGAUGCAUUUUAACAAGUUUAAAGUAUUGAAAAACUACUUUUAAUCAUCAAUAUGCAUCGUGAUGGGAAUAGAUCUUUGUAAUUAUCGAUCUUAAACGAGGAAUUUCUUGUAAGCGUUUGUCAUCAUCGAGCGCUGAAUAAGUCCCUAUCAUUUGUACACACCGCCCAUCGCUUCCACUAAAUCCGGGUAAUUAUGCGAAUUUAACUGAUUUCGAAAGUAAUUUUGCAUGAAGUUACGUGAGCAUGAUUACCUUGAAGAGGAAGAAGUUGUAACAAGGUUUCCGUAGGUGAAUCG